rnacentral:rRNA from 1 species
GAUGAACGCUAGCUACAGGCUUAACACAUGCAAGUCGAGGGGAAACGACAUCGAAAGCUUGCUUUUGAUGGGCGUCGACCGGCGCACGGGUGAGUAACGCGUAUCCAACCUGCCCACCACUUGGGGAUAACCUUGCGAAAGUAAGACUAAUACCCAAUGAUAUCCCACGAAGGCAUCCGAAUGGGAUUAAAGAUUUAUCGGUGAUGGAUGGGGAUGCGUCUGAUUAGUUUGUUGGCGGGGUAACGGCCCACCAAGGCGACGAUCAGUAGGGGUUCUGAGAGGAAGGUCCCCCACAUUGGAACUGAGACACGGUCCAAACUCCUACGGGAGGCAGCAGUGAGGAAUAUUGGUCAAUGGGCGAGAGCCUGAACCAGCCAAGUAGCGUGCAGGAUGACGGCCCUAUGGGUUGUAAACCGCUUUUUCAGGGGGAUAAAGUGAGUGACGUGUCAUUCAUUGCAGGUACCCUGCGAAUAAGGACCGGCUAAUUCCGUG